rnacentral:rRNA from 1 species
UAGUCAUAUGCUUGUCUCAAAGAUUAAGCCAUGCAUGUCUAAGUAUAAACACCUUUAUACAGUGAAACUGCGUACAGCUCAUUAUAUCAGUUAUGAUUUAUUUGAUGGUUAUUUUCUACAUGGAUACCUGUAGUAAUUCUAGAGCUAAUACAUGCAUAAAAUCCCGACUCGUGAGGGAAGGGACGUAUUUAUUAGAUAGCAAACCAAUGCAGGGCAACCUGGUUUUUUGGUGACUCCUAGUAACUGUUCGAAUCGCAUGGCUUUAUGCUGGCGAUAGU